UACGAAGGGGGCUAGCGUUGUUCGGAAUUACUGGGCGUAAAGCGCACGUAGGCGGACAUUUAAGUCAGGGGUGAAAUCCCGGGGCUCAACCCCGGAACGGCCUUUGAUACUGGGUGUCUUAAGUUCGGAAGAGGUGAGUGGAAUUGCGAGUGUAGAGGUGAAAUUCGUAGAUAUUCGCAGGAACACCAGUGGCGAAGGCGGCUCACUGGUCCGAUACUGACGCUGAGGUGCGAAAGCGUGGGGAGCAAACAGG
rnacentral:rRNA from 1 species